ACGGCUCAGUAACACGUAGUCAACUCACCCUAUGGACGAGGAUAAUCUCGGGAAACUGAGCAUAGUACUCGAUAGAUCAUAAUGCCUGGAAUGGUUUCUGGUUGAUAUGAUUCGUCGCCAUAGGAUGGGACUGCGGCCUAUCAGCUUGUUGGUGAGGUAAUGGCCCACCAAGGCGAUUACAGGUACGGGCUCUGAGAGGAGAAGCCCGGAGAUGGGUACUGAGACAAGGACCCAGGCCCUAUGGGGCGCAGCAGGCGAGAAAACUUUGCAAUGUGCGAAAGCACGACAAGGUUAAUCCGAGUGAUUUCUGCUAAAGAAAUCUUUUGCAAGUCAUAAAACCACUAGUGAAUAAGGGGUGGGCAAGUUCUGGUGUCAGCCGCCGCGGUAAAACCAGCACCUCAAGUGGUCAGGAGGAUUAUUGGGCCUAAAGCAUCCGUAGCCGGCUCUGUAAGUUUUCGGUUAAAUCCAUGUGCUCAACGC
rnacentral:rRNA from 1 species